rnacentral:lncRNA from 1 species
UCGGCACUUGUAUAUAUAGACACAUGCUCUCCAAUCGUGAAUAUCAAUAUCCUUCGCUUGCAAGCUACCGUGUGUCCACUUUUGACUGCUCGAAAACAUUGACACGAAGGUAAUUUUUUCUUCUUCUUUUGUGUUUUUCUUAUUUUAUUGUCCUUUUUUUUAGGUCAAGCGAGAAAGAUAUGUUUUUGUUCAACAAGAUAAUCCACGCAUGAAGAAGGCGAUCUUAGGGUGUGAGGGGAUGGGUACUCAUCCUCACCCAAAUAUUAAAGGGAUUACUUUCAUGGCCCGAUUCUUGGAGAGAUUACUCUGACAAUGACCCAAUCCUUGGAGAGAUUACUCUCAAUGUGGCCCAAUUUUUGGAGAGAUUACUCUCAAAAUGGCCCGACUACCGGAGAGAUUACUCUCAAAAUAGCCCAACUACCGGUGAGGCCAACUCAAAGUGCAAAGGGACGCAUAUGUCCACCUUAAGAUUGGAAAGUUAUAAUUCCUUUUAAGGAAAAACCCAUGAAGAGGCCAACUUAAGGUGCUAAGGGACUUAUAUGUCCACCUUAAGAUUGGAAAGUACGCCAGCUCCUACAUAUAUAACUUAAAUACGGAUGCGGCAUAUUUGACACGCUCUAAUAGAAAUG